CGACUCUUUCCUCAUCCACCUGUUUGCGAAGUCCGGGAUUGAUUUCUCGGCUUCGGGCGCAGUAUCUUACCAUUUCAAUAUUCGUAGUCUUCAUCGAUUAUGUUGUUUCUUUGAGCAAAUUAUAGUGUUUCAGGCAGGCGUGCGCCGGAAUACAUUAGCAUGGUAUAAACGAAUUGGACCGUGUGCCCGUAACUGGGCUUCUCCUUAUUGUUGGUUUGAAGGACACGGAGAUGGUUAAUAGGGACAGCGUUUAUUUCACAAGGAGGCAUUAGUAUUUAAUUUCCAGAGGUGAAAUUCUUUGAAAUAUUAAAGACUAACUUAUGCGAAAGCAUCGUUUGCCAAUGAUGUUUUCAUUAAUCAUUGAACGAAAGUUAGGGGAUCAAAGACGAUCAGAUACCGUCCUAGUCUUAACCAUAAACGUUGCCGACUAGGGAUCGGAGGGCGUGCACAAUCCGCCUUCGGCACCUUACGAGAAAUCAAAGUCUUUUGGGUUCUGUGGGUAGUAUGGUCGCAAGGCUGAAACUUAAAGGAAUUGACGGAAGGGCACCACCAGGAGUGGAGCUUGCGGCUCAAUUUGACUCAACACGGGAAAUCUUACCAGGUCCAGACAUAGCGAGGAUUGACAGAUUGAUAGCUCUUUCUUGAUUCUAUGGGUAUUUUGGUGGUGCAUGGCCGUUCUUAGUUCGUGGAGUGAUUCGUCUGGUUAAUUCCGUUAAACGAACGAGACCUCAGCCUGCUAAAUAGUUGCUCGCCUUUUCUAUAAGACUUGACAACUUCUUAGAGGGACUUUGUGUGCAACCACAAGGAAGUUUGAGGCAAUAACAGGUCUGUGAUGCCCUUAGAUGUCCUGGGCCGCACGCGUGCUACACUGAUACGUACAACGAGGUAUAUGUACUUGUACAUCAAUGCUGCUCCGAAAUAGACGAGCUUAAUCUUAUAAAUACGUAUCGUGCUGCGGAUAGAUCGUUGAAAUUAUGAAUCUUGAAGGUGGAAUUCCUAGUAAGCGCACGUCACUAACGUGCGUUGAUUACGUCCCUGCCCUUUGUACACACCGCCCGUCGCUCCUACCAAUUUCGAGUGAUCUGGUGAACCUCUUUGGACUGUCGAGCAAUCGCGAAAUUAGAGUGAACCUGACUACUUAGAGGAAGGAGAAGUCGUAACAAGGUUUCCGUAGGUGAACCUGCGGAAGGAUCAAUC
rfam:Reticulomyxa filosa solexa3784672_1.f1.exp, whole genome shotgun sequence.